UUGCUCGCUUUGACAGCAUGUAUACUAAAAGUGGAAGAAUAUAGAGGAGAUUAGCAUGGCAUCUGCAUAAGGAUGACAUGCAAAUUCCAUAUUCUCAAUUAGA
rnacentral:snRNA from 1 species